UGCAGUCGUACGGAAAAGAAAUUUUUAGUGGCGAACGGGUGAGUAACACGUGAGAAUCUGCCCUUAGGAAGAGGAUAACAUUUAGAAACAUUUGCUAAUACUCUAUAUGCCUUGCGGUGAAAGAAUUUAUUCGCCUAAGGAGGAGCUCGCGUCUGAUUAGCUAGUAGGUAGGGUAAAGGCCUACCUAGGCGACGAUCAGUAGUUGGUCUGAGAGGACGGCCAGCCACAUUGGAACUGAGACACGGUCCAGACUCUUACGGGAGGCAGCAGUGAGGAAUUUUCUGCAAUGGGCGCAAGCCUGACAGAGCAAUACCGCGUGAGGGAUGACUGCCUACGGGUUGUAAACCUCUUUUCUCAAGGAGGAAGAUCUGACGUUACUUGAGGAAUAAGCAUCGGCUAACCCUGUGCCAGCAGCCGCGGUAAUACAGGGGAUGCAAGUGUUAUCCGGAAUUAUUGGGCGUAAAGCGUCUGCAGGUUGAUAUGUAAGUCUUUUGUUAAAACUUUGAGCUUAACUCAAAUCCCGCAAAAGAAACUAUUUAUCUUGAGUAUGGUAGAGGUAAAGGGAAUUUCCAGUGGAGCGGUGAAAAUGCGUAGAUAUUGGAAAGAACACCAACAGCGAAGGCACUUUACUGGGCCAUUACUGACACUCAGAGACGAAAGCUAGGGUAGCAAACGGGACUAGAUACCCCGGUAGUCCUAGCCGUAAACGAUGGAUACUAGAUGUUGCGUACUUUUAUGGUAUGCAGUGUCGUA
rnacentral:rRNA from 1 species